rnacentral:lncRNA from 10 species
CACCAUCUCAGCUCACUACAGCCUCCACCUCCUGGGUUCAAGCAAUUCUGCCUCAGCCUCCCAAGUACCUGGGACUACAGGUGCACGCCACCACACCCAGCUAAUUUUUGUAUUUUUAGUAGAGAUGGGGUUUCACCAUGUUGGCCAAGAUGGUCUUGAUCUCCUGACCUCAUGAUCUGCCCACCUCGGCCUCCCAAAGUGCUGGGAUUACAGGCAUGAACCACUGCACCCAGCUUUCCAGCCCUCCCUUUCUACUCUUAUCUCCAGCCACCCUCCUUCAAAGGUCUGGCAGCAUAACCUCUCUAUGCCCCAGCUGUGUCUUUGCUCAUGUUGGCCCUCUGGAAAUGAUUUCCCCCUUUUUUUUAAGUGCUCCAGUUUUUCCCACCUUAUCCAUCCCAUGUCAUCUUCCCUCUGUGUGGUCCUUGCUUCCCAUUCUAGCUAACUCUUAUCCCUCCCCCAUACUCCUGGAGCCCUCUGCCCUCAGAGUCUUUUGUGUCACACAGACCCAAUAAUUAGAACUGUUUGGUCUCUGGCUAGACUGUGAGCUCCUUGCAGGUGGGGAAGAUGUCAUGUAUGCUUUUACCCUCCACCCAAAU